rnacentral:rRNA from 1 species
UCGGUCGCGCCUGGGAACUUAGUACGGCGAGUGAGCGGUAAAAGCUCAAAUUUGAAAUCUGGUACUUUCAGUGCCCGAGUUGUAAUUUGUAGAAUUUGUCUUUGAUUAGGUCCUUGUCUAUGUUCCUUGGAACAGGACGUCAUAGAGGGUGAGAAUCCCGUUUGGCGAGGAUACCUUUUCUCUGUAAGACUUUUUCGAAGAGUCGAGUUGUUUGGGAAUGCAGCUCAAAGUGGGUGGUAAAUUCCAUCUAAAGCUAAAUAUUGGCGAGAGACCGAUAGCGAACAAGUACAGUGAUGGAAAGAUGAAAAGAACUUUGAAAAGAGAGUGAAAAAGUACGUGAAAUUGUUGAAAGGGAAGGGCAUUUGAUCAGACAUGGUGUUUUUUGCAUGCACUCGCCUCUCGUGGGCUUGGGCCUCUCAAAAAUUUCACUGGGCCAACAUCAAUUCUGGCAGCAGGAUAAAUCAUUAAGAAUGUAGCUACUUCGGUAGUGUUAUAGCUUUUUGGAAUACUGUUAGCCGGGAUUGAGGACUGCGCUUCGGCAAGGAUGUUGGCAUAAUGGUUAAAUGCCGCCCGUCUUGAACCCACGGACCA